CAGUCAUGCUAGUGGAAAUUCAGUUUGGUGGGUUUUGGGUUCAGGAGUUGAGGCAGGGUCAAACCGUUUUUCUUUUGAACUUGGAAUUUGUCAGAUGCACUUUUUCUUUGGCAGGUCAGCGUCGAUUUCGGAGGUUGUAAAAUACUUGGGGAAAAGUUAGCUCUAGCUUCGGGAGAGUGUUAUAGACCUUGGGUGAU
rnacentral:rRNA from 1 species